ACCGGGAUUGCCUCAGUAACGGCGAGUGAAGCGGCAAGAGCUCAAAUUUGAAAUCUGGCCCCUCCGGGGUCCGAGUUGUAAUUUGCAGAGGAUGCUUCGGGUGCGGCCCCUGUCUAAGUGCCCUGGAACGGGCCGUCAGAGAGGGUGAGAAUCCCGUCUUGGGCAGGGUGCCCGUGCCCGUGUGAAGCUCCUUCGACGAGUCGAGUUGUUUGGGAAUGCAGCUCUAAAUGGGUGGUAAAUUUCAUCUAAAGCUAAAUACCGGCCGGAGACCGAUAGCGCACAAGUAGAGUGAUCGAAAGAUGAAAAGCACUUUGAAAAGAGAGUUAAACAGCACGUGAAAUUGUUGAAAGGGAAGCGCUUGCGACCAGACUCGGCCCUGGGGUUCAGCCAGCACUCGUGCUGGUGUACUUCCCCAGGGGCGGGCCAGCGUCGGUUUGGGCGGCCGGUCAAAGGCCCCAGGAAUGUAUCGCCCUCCGGGGCGUCUUAUAGCCUGGGGUGCAAUGCGGCCAGCCCGGACCGAGGAACGCGCUUCGGCACGGACGCUGGCGUAAUGGUCGCAAACGACCCGUCUUGAAACACGGACCAAGGAGUCUAACAUCUACGCGAGUGUUCGGGUGUCAAACCCGUACGCGCAGUGAAAGCGAACGGAGGUGGGAGCCCCCCCGGGGCGCACCAUCGACCGAUCCUGAUGUCUUCGGAUGGAUUUGAGUAAGAGCGUAGCUGUGGGGACCCGAAAGAUGGUGAACUAUGCCUGAAUAGGGCGAAGCCAGAGGAAACUCUGGUGGAGGCUCGCAGCGGUUCUGACGUGCAAAUCGAUCGUCAAAUUUGGGUAUAGGGGCGAAAGACUAAUCGAACCAUCUGGUAGCUGGUUCCUGCC
rnacentral:rRNA from 1 species